rnacentral:tRNA from 1 species
GGAGGGGUCGCAUAGUUGGUCUAGUGCACAGUCCUGGAAAGACUGCGUUCCAAAAGAACCGGAAGUUCGAAUCUUCUCCCCUCCG